GCCGGUUUCCCUAGAUGAUCUUCACCGGUUGUCCUGGGUGACCGGCACGUUUACUUUGAAAAAAUUAGAGUGCUCAAAGCAGGCGUGUAGCCUGAAUAAUGGUGCAUGGAAUAAUGGAAUAGGACUUCGUUUCUAUUUUGUUGGUUUUCGGAACACGAGGUAAUGAUUAAGAGGGACAGACGGGGGCAUUCGUAUUGCGACGCUAGAGGUGAAAUUCUUGGACCGUCGCAAGACGAACUACUGCGAAAGCAUUUGCCAAGAAUGUUUUCAUUGAUCAAGAACGAAAGUUAGAGGUUCGAAGGCGAUCAGAUACCGCCCUAGUUCUAACCAUAAACGAUGCCAUCUAGCGAUCCGCCUGAGUUCCUCAAAUGACUCGGCGGGCAGCUUCCGGGAAACCAAAGUGUUUGGGUUCCGGGGGAAGUAUGGUUGCAAAGCUGAAACUUAAAGGAAUUGACGGAAGGGCACCACCAGGAGUGGAGCCUGCGGCUUAAUUUGACUCAACACGGGAAAACUUACCCGGCCCGGACACUGGAAGGAUUGACAGAUUAAGAGCUCUUUCUUGAUUCAGUGGGUGGUGGUGCAUGGCCGUUCUUAGUUGGUGGAGCGAUUUGUCUGGUUAAUUCCGAUAACGAACGAGACUCUAGCCUACUAAAUAGGCGUCCCGAUCACUUUUGUCGGGCGUUCUUCUUAGAGGGACAAGUGGCGUUUAGCCGCACGAGACAGAGCAAUAACAGGUCUGUGAUGCCCUUAGAUGUCCGGGGCCGCACGCGCGCUACACUGAAGGAAUCAACGUGUGCUUUCCCUGUCCGGUAGGACUGGGUAACCCGUUCAACCUCCUUCGUGAUAGGGAUAGGGGCUUGUAAUUGUUCCCCUUGAACGAGGAAUUCCCAGUAAGCACGAGUCAUAAGCUCGUGUUGAUUACGUCCCUGCCCUUUGUACACACCGCCCGUCGCUACUACCGAUUGAAUGAUUUAGUGAGGUCUUCGGACUGGCGCUCGGAGCAACCGCAAGGUCGCGC
rnacentral:rRNA from 1 species